GAAAGUAAACAAGGGCGCAUGGAGGAUGCCUAGGCUCUCGGAGGCGAAGAAGGACGUGAUAAGCUGCGAAAAGUUACGGUAAGGCGCAAAUAGCCCUAGACCCGUAAAUAUCCGAAUGGGGCAACCCGGCCAGCAAUGGUCAUACCGCCAAGCGGUAAGCCAACGCGGGGAACUGAAACAUCUAAGUACCCGCAGGAAAAGAAAAUAACAAUGAUUCCGCCAGUAGUGGCGAGCGAACGCGGAACAGCCCAAACCACUCGUGUUACGGCACGAGUGGGGUAGAAGGAUCCACGAUACGGCAAGAAAUAAGUUAGCAGAAUACGAUGGAAAUCGUAGCCAAAGACGGUGACAGCCCAGUACGCGAAAACCGACAGAAGCCCAGUGGACACCUGAGUAACCCAGGACACGAGAAAUCCGGGGCGAAUCAGCGGGGCCCAUCCCGUAAGGCUAAAUACUCCCGAGAGACCGAUAGCGAACCAGUACUGUGAAGGAAAGGUGAAAAGCACUUCGAACAGAAGAGUGAAAUAGUCCCUGAAACCGUGCGCCUACAAGCGGUCGGAGCUGCGUAAGCAGUGACGGCGUGCCUUUUGCAUAAUGAACCUACGAGUUACUUUUUCCGGCAAGGUUAAGCAUCUUGAGAUGUGGAUCCGAAGCGAAAGCGAGUCUGAACAGGGCGGAUAGUCGGAAGGAGUAGACGCGAAACCAAGUGAUCUACCCUUGGGCAGGUUGAAGGUUAGGUAACACUAACUGGAGGACCGAACCGAUAAGCGUUGAAAAGCUUCCGGAUGAACUGAGGGUGGGGGUGAAAGGCUAAUCAAACUUGGAGAUAGCUCGUACUCCCCGAAAUGCAUUUAGGUGCAGCCUUGGGAAUUACUACUGUGAGGUAGAGCGACUGAUAAGAUGCGAGGGCUUCACCGCCUAUCAAGUCUUGAUAAACUCCGAAUGCGCAGUAGUUCGAUCCCAGGAGUGAGGGCAUGGGUGCUAAGGUCCAUGUCCUAAAGGAGAAGAAUCCAGACCAUCAGCUAAGGUCCCGAAAUAAACACUAAGUUGAACUAACGAAGUCAGAUUGCUAAGACAGCUAGGAUGUUGGCUUGGAAGCAGCCAUUCAUUUAAAGAGUGCGUAACAGCUCACUAGUCGAGGAGUUUGGCGUGGAUAAUAAUCGGGCAUCAAGCAAUUUACCGAAGCUAUGGGAUCAGUAAUGAUCGGUAGGGGAGCAUUCCACUCUGCGUCGAAGGUGAAGCGUGAGCUUUGCUGGAGCGUGUGGAAAAGCAAAUGUAGGUAUAAGUAACGAUAAAGGGGGUGAGAAACCCCCUCGCCGAAAGACUAAGGUUUCCUGAUCAACGCUAAUCGGAUCAGGGUUAGUCGGGUCCUAAGGCUCAGCCGAACGGUGAGGCCGAUGGCAGAACAGGUUAAUAUUCCUGUACUACCUUAAGGAGUGACGUGGAGACGGAGGAGUGACAGCGCCGCGGACUGACGGAAUAGUCCGUUGAAGGGUGUAGAUGUUGAUUAUCCCAGGCAAAUCCAGGAUAAGAGUCGAACCUGAUAGUAUACCAAAUUCUUCGGAAUAAGGUAAUAGUGCGUGUAAGCAUACUCCCAAGAAAAUCCGCUAAACUUAAUCUUUAAGGUACCCGUACCGCAAACGGACACACGUAGUCGGGUUGAAUAUACUAAGGCGCUUGAGUGAUUCACGGUUAAGGAACUAGGCAAAUUGACCCUGUAACUUCGGGAUAAAGGGUCCCAACGAGAGUUGGGCGCAGAGAAUAGGUCCAGGCAACUGUUUAACAAAAACACAGGGCUGUGCGAAAUUUCAAGAUGAAGUAUACAGCCUGACACCUGCCCGGUGCCGGAAGGUUAAGAGGAGAGCUAAUCGCAAGAGAAGGCUUGAAUUGAAGCCCCGGUAAACGGCGGCCGUAACUAUAACGGUCCUAAGGUAGCGAAAUUCCUUGUCGGGU
rnacentral:rRNA from 1 species